UGGGCUCUCACUGAGCUCACACACACUUGCUGACUGGUAAGGACUUGUACCUCAUUAUGUGUCCUUUUCUCUGAUGUCAGAACAAUUGACUUAGCCAGAGUUAGUGUUUUGAUCUCCUGCCACAGAGGCUUCGGAUGUUGCAAGUACUACUCAAAUAUUUGUGCAAACAAUAAAGGACCAAAUGAAAGUCCAGCUAAAAUAAACAAAUGCUAUCCAUGCCACUGGAGAACCCUGCCUGGUCCUCUCCUGGCUUUGCAAUUUCCCAUCAGCUAAACUUCCUUUUCUUUUCCCAUUAGUGCAGUGGAGGGGCAGUCCCUACCUCAGGGUACAGUCAAGCAGAGCUGUCUUGGAUCCCUUGAGAAUGAAGGGAUCUAAUUUUCAAGGUGUCGUUUCUUGCUGCCUCAGAGGCUGAGCAGCUGAUGAAUUCUCCAAGAACAUUUCCUAUUUUCCUUCAUGGGUGCACUGGAGAGAUUCUGGCCAAAAGUCCCUUGCUGGAAUUCUGCUCUUCCUCUGAGACUACCCUCUCACCUUCCAUCACACAGCUGCUCGCCAACCUUUAUUGCCCUUUUCUCCCUCCUCCCGGCUGCUGCCAAGAUUUGCAAGCUUUCCAGACAUGACCUGAGGGUUUCUUCUGGCUGCUUUCCAGUGCCAUCAAGGUGACUAUCGAUAUUAACCAUCGAUAUGUAGACGUGAACUCUGACAGUUCCUAUAGACCUUCAGAUACUGAGUGUAUGGUUUAGCCUUGGAGACUUCAGCGGUCACAGCAGUGGAGAGGGUGAGAAAUUCAGAUUCUUUGUGGGCAUCCUGUAUCCUGGGGAAUGUGUGUGCAUGAAGGUGAUCCUGACAGAUCUCACCAGCUGCCUCAGAAAUGAGUGAUGGUUUCUGCUCUAUUGCUUAGGGGCCUGGAA